UACAGAGGGUGCGAGCGUUGUCCGGAAUCACUGGGCGUAAAGGGCGCGUAGGUGGUGGCUUAAGCGUGCGGUGAAAGCUCGGGGCUCAACCCCGAGUCGGCCGUGCGAACUACUGGGCUGGAGCACUGUAGAGGCAGGCGGAAUUCCUGGUGUAGCGGUGAAAUGCGCAGAUAUCAGGAGGAACACCGGUGGCGAAGGCGGAUUCUCGUGGGCAUUACCUGACGCUGAGGCACGAAGGCUAGGGGAGCAAACGGG
rnacentral:rRNA from 1 species